CCACAUGGACACUUUCGCCAAGAGGUAGACCUGAUGACUGGAAUGGAUCUGAUACACGUAUCACGUAUGCCAUGCUAACACAUGUGAGGGCCUUUCUGUUUGUCCUCUGCAGAAGUGCAUGUACAAGAAGCACUCCUCUUAACUGCGAAUGUAAAAUUGCUAUGCAGGAGUUGGGAAAUCGGUUACAACGGUUGCAAGGAAUGCUCAGUGAUGUGAGGUGUAGAUUGAGCUGUUGGACCAUACCAGGAAGUGUCAAUAAUGCAGCCCAAGUUCGAGCAGUGGAAGAAUAUGUAGUGAUUUCUUUUUUUUAUUCAAAUAAAAAUACUAGGGAGAUCACUGUCUGCAGUUGCCUAACCAUGGCAACAUACAGGUGCUUAAGUGAAGAUCUCAACUUUCCAAUGGCUCAAUGAGAUGUCACGUACUUGGAGGAAAUUUCAAAUACAAGUCGAAUCUCAAUCUCCAAUCACCCUAUUGAAAAACUGGCUAAAAUUUUGCCCCCUCCAACAAAUACCAUUCUAUGAAUGGAUUCAGUCAAAUUUCCAUCCAAUACAAUAGCUUGGAUUAGAGAAGCGGUGCCUCUCAUCCCUUCCAUGUUCAAGCCUUUGAGGGAAAGGGGGGUACUAAACAAAGUAAAGGUCGUCUUCUCUGCAAUUGAGGGUCUGUGGCUCAGCCCAUUCAUGAAUCGGGCCGACUUGACUGCAUGGUCAGAUGAUCAAGACCACCACCCAACUGCUUACCCCUUCCGUUGUGGAUGAUUGUAUAGAAGAAAAACUGAUGGUAGAAUCUGAGCUACUUGACUUAAAAGCUACAUGGUCAAAUUAUCAAGACUACACAUCUGCGCACACCUACCAUUUACGGUUGUUUGUACAAGAAGCACACGGAUAGGAGAAUCCUAGCUUUCUGAUUUUCUCUUGAAUGUGGACUAUUGGCUGAUUUUUUUCAUCACCCGUUUGCUGAAUGUUGAAGGCUGUUACUCUGACAAUAGGAUUGUCUGAUUGAUGUGAUAUUUAUACAGUUGCCUGUCAACCGCUAGGCUUAUAAGAUUGACAUACCAUAUGACCCACCCUCAAGCCAUGCAUGCCCAGUCAAGCAAUAGACCCUUAAGCAUAAGGGCAGGCUCCAAAUUGAAAAUGAGUCAACAGGCCUCUCAAAUUCUAUGUCAUGGGUGGGAAAUCCGGUCUUCAAAAGGGAU